GUGCUAAUUCAACAGUAUAUGUACAAAAACUGAAACCAUACAGAGAAGAUUAGCAUGGCACCUGUGCAAGGAUGACAUGCAAAUUUGUGAAGUAUUUCAUAUUUUU
ensembl:snRNA U6 U6 spliceosomal RNA